UCCACGCCGUAAACGAUGUCGACUUGGAGGUUGUGCCCUUGAGGCGUGGCUUCCGGAGCUAACGCGUUAAGUCGACCGCCUGGGGAGUACGGCCGCAAGGUUAAAACUCAAAUGAAUUGACGGGGGCCCGCACAAGCGGUGGAGCAUGUGGUUUAAUUCGAUGCAACGCGAAGAACCUUACCUACUCUUGACAUCCAGAGAACUUAGCAGAGAUGCUUUGGUGCCUUCGGGAACUCUGAGACAGGUGCUGCAUGGCUGUCGUCAGCUCGUGUUGUGAAAUGUUGGGCUAAGUCCCGCAACGAGCGCAACCCUUAUCCUUUGUUGCCAGCGGUCCGGCCGGGAACUCAAAGGAGACUGCCAGUGAUAAACUGGAGGAAGGUGGGGAUGACGUCAAGUCAUCAUGGCCCUUACGAGUAGGGCUACACACGUGCUACAAUGGCGCAUACAAAGAGAAGCGAACUCGCGAGAGCAAGCGGACCUCAUAAAGUGCGUCGUAGUCCGGAUUGGAGUCUGCAACUCGACUCCAUGAAGUCGGAAUCGCUAGUAAUCGUAGAUCAGAAUGCUACGGUGAAUACGUUCCCGGGC
rnacentral:rRNA from 1 species